GUCGGUGAUGUAGACAACUGGAGAGUUGUCAAAUCGCUGGAGAUUGUCACGUCGUUGACGAGCUGACAGGUCUUAGGAAUUAAUUUGCGUUCUUGGCAGGACAGCGCCCCAGGUUUCCUGGCAGGACAACGCCCCCCUGACGUUUGCACGGCAUGUCCUUGAUAGGAAUGCAGCCCAUGCCACUCGUUCGGCGUCUAGAAGGGCCUGUAGAGGUCGGACGCCGGUUGCCCAAAUCGACAGUGAGUCGGUGAUAUCCCAUCCGAC
rnacentral:lncRNA from 1 species